rnacentral:rRNA from 1 species
UACGUGGAUAACUGUGGCAAUUCUAGAGCUAAUACAUGCACCAAAGCUCCGACUCGUUGACGAGCGCAUCUAUUAGAAUAAAACCAAUCGAGACAGUGUCUCGUCCAUUUGGUGACUCUGAAUAGCUUAGCUGAUCGCAUGGUCACGCACCGGCGACGUAUCUAUCAAGUAUCUGCCUUAUCAACUUUCGAUGGUAGUUUAUAUGACUACCAUGGUUGUAACGGGUAACGGAGAAUAAGGGUUCGACUCCGGAGAGGGAGCCUGAGAAACGGCUACCACUUCCAAGGAAGGCAGCAGGCGCGCAAAUUACCCACUCUCAGCUCAGAGGAGGUAGUGACGAAAAAUAACGAGACCGUACUCGAUGAGGCCGGUUAUCGGAAUGGGUACAAUUUAAACCCGUUAACGAGGAUCUAUGAGAGGGCAAGUCUGGUGCCAGCAGCCGCGGUAAUUCCAGCUCUCAAAGUGUAUAUCGGCAUUGCUGCGGUUAAAAAGCUCGUAGUUGGAUUUCAGCCUUACGACGUGGUCCAUUCAUUGAAUGCGAACUACGCCUCGUAGGCUAUAUUGAUGUUGGUUUUUCCUUACGUUGCUCUAAUCGGCUGCGUAAGGUGGCUAACGAGUUUACCUUGAAAAAAUUAGAGUGCUCAACGCGGGCUAACGCCUGAAUACUCGUGCAUGGAAUAAUGGAAUAGGAUCUCGGUUCUAUUUUGUUGGUUUUCUGAUCUGAGAUAAUGGUUAAGAGGGACAGACGGGGGCAUUCGUAUCGCUGCGUGAGAGGUGAAAUUCUUGGACCGUAGCGAGACGUCCCACUGCGAAAGCAUUUGCCAAGAAUGUCUUCAUUAAUCAAGAACGAAAGUCAGAGGUUCGAAGGCGAUCAGAUACCGCCCUAGUUCUGACCGUAAACGAUACCAACUAGCGUUCCGUCAGCAGUAAUUACGCCUUGACGGGCAGCUUUCCGGAAACGAAAGUUUUUCGGUUCCGGGGGAAGUAUGGUUGCAAAGCUGAAACUUAAAGAAAUUGACGGAAGGGCACCACCAGGAGUGGAGCCUGCGGCUUAAUUUGACUCAACACGGGAAAACUCACCUGGCCCGGACACCGUGAGGAUUGACAGAUUGAGAGCU